GAUGAACGCUGGCGGCGUGCCUAGUACAUGCAAGUCGAGCGAACAGACGAGGAGCUUGCUCCUCUGACGUUAGCGGCGGACGGGUGAGUAACACGUGGAUAACCUACCUAUAAGACUGGGAUAACUUCGGGAAACCGGAGCUAAUACCGGAUAAUAUAUUGAACCGCAUGGUUCAAUAGUGAAAGACGGUUUUGCUGUCACUUAUAGAUGGAUCCGCGCCGCAUUAGCUAGUUGGUAAGGUAACGGCUUACCAAGGCAACGAUGCGUAGCCGACCUGAGAGGGUGAUCGGCCACACUGGAACUGAGACACGGCCCAGACUCCUACGGGAGGCAGCAGUAGGGAAUCUUCCGCAAUGGGCGAAAGCCUGACGGAGCAACGCCGCGUGAGUGAUGAAGGUCUUCGGAUCGUAAAACUCUGUUAUUAGGGAAGAACAAAUGUGUAAGUAACUAUGCACGUCUUGACGGUACCUAAUCAGAAAGCCACGGCUAACUACGUG
rnacentral:rRNA from 1 species